rnacentral:antisense_RNA from 1 species
GGGACUGAACAUCGUUCACCGAAUACACUUUGUGAUGCUGGGCUUGAAAUCUACUGUUUUCCUGUCUUAAAAGAGAAUUCUGUGACUCCAUGGAAGACAUCUGAAUUUUGUUAGCAAGGAGUUCUUCUGUAGCUGCACGUUCUCUCUCAACUGCUGCUGCCAGCAAGAAAAACACAUACUUCUUGGAUUUGUGUUUCGGAAAACUGUGACAGUACCUGCUGAAGUUCACCGAUCUCAUGGCGUAAAUAAUCCUCCUUUCUGGCACCUGCUUGUUCUGUACGCUGCAAUGCAAGCCUAAGGUCCCCCACCUGUAGGAGGAGAAACAAUACAUUCACAAACAAUGUUUUAGGUGAUGAAGUACCUGCUGCCAGAGUUUCCCCUGAAACACACAAAGAAGAGUCUUUUACUUGUGAUUCAGUUGUUUCAGGAGUUCUUGACUGUCCAAUGUGCAAGGAUUCACGUAAGCUGCUUUUCACUUCUUCUUCUGGUCGUUGUGAUUUUGCUGGAGGUUUUGAUACCACUGGACUCUUCUGAAUGGUCUGGACAUCAGUUGGCGAGAGAAAGGCACUGAAGAAAUUUUCAGAUUCAUCGACCACA